CCUCUCUUCUGGACUUGGUUUUCACAGGAACUUGGAAGGUUGCUGCGGAAACUCCAUUUUUAUCUUCCCAAGUCAGAUAAUUGUUUUCUGUCAGCCUGCUGAUGUGUAGAGUAGUUAGGAUUAGUGAAAGCUCUAGCGGGAUGUGUUUGAAAAGAAGAAUGUUGACACUGGGAGGUUGGUGUGAUUCCACUCUCACUUUGAUGACAAGGAAACUGAGGCACAGGGAGGUUAAGAAACUUGCCCGGGAUCAUAAAGCUGAGAUAGGGUUUCACCAUGUUGCCCAGGCUUGUCACAAACAUUUGGGCUCAAGCAAUCUGCCUGCCUCAGCCUCCCAAAGUCCUGGAAUUACAGAUGCGAGCCACCAAACCUGACCUCACCCCAAAUUUGUAAAAUAAAACUAAAGGACAAGAUCUUUGUGCGACUUAUCUCCCUAUCAUUCCCUCCUUCUUCAUGUCAGCACCACCAACUGCAACAUCAGCAGAAGAUACAUUAAGUGGAACCCUCUUGUGUUCAAAGGACAGUGCAUC
rnacentral:lncRNA from 1 species